rnacentral:rRNA from 1 species
UACGUAGGGUGCAAGCGUUGUCCGGAAUUAUUGGGCGUAAAGAGCUCGUAGGCGGUCUGUCGCGUCGGCUGUGAAAACCCGCGGCUCAACCGCGGGCCUGCAGCCGAUACGGGCAGGCUAGAGUUCGGUAGGGGAGACUGGAAUUCCUGGUGUAGCGGUGAAAUGCGCAGAUAUCAGGAGGAACACCGAUGGCGAAGGCAGGUCUCUGGGCAUUAACUGACGCUGAGGAGCGAAAAGCAUGGGGAGCGAACAGG